UGGCUCAGAGGAUAAAGCAUCUGCCUGCAAUGCAGGAGACCCAGGUUUGAUCCCUGG
rnacentral:tRNA from 1 species